rnacentral:lncRNA from 1 species
AUUUUAAAUUUGCUCGGGUGGUCAUGGAACUGUGGUACGACCUUUAGCCCACUGAGUGUCCGAGAAAAAAAAAAACCUUCAGUCCACUGAGCUUCAAAUCAUAUGCAAGCAUGAGACAUGUAGCAAAGCUAGUUUUUUUUGGGUGAGGUAACACUAUGUAGUGAAGUUGCUGUGCUUAUUUAAACUUCAUUGACACCAUGGGAGAUCCUAAAAACUUGUCUGUAGAUAAAUUCUAUUACUUAAUGAGAUCACACUUCAACAAAGACCUAGCUUUAAAGAUAUUGGCUGGUUAGGAAACUGUCUUUAGGUUGGUAAUAUAUCUCUUUCUAGCCUCUGCCCCCUACUACAAAUCGGUGUAAUGCUAGCCACAACAAUUCUAGAAAUAGUCAUAAUGAAUGUUCAGACCUCAAAUUCUGCUACUGAAUACUGUAUCACUUUGACUUCCAUCAUCACCAUACUAUGCCAUAAAUAGAUUAAGAAACCACAUUGUUUGGAUGACUGAAAAUAAGAAUCACUGAAGCAAGUUUGCUUUUUAGGAUUAGGAUGAAAGCCACCACUAAUUCAUGCUGAGAUAUGAUUAGAUUGUCCGUACACCAUGUAACUAACUAACAAGACCUUGAUUUCCCACCAGAAACAAUGCAUUUGGUUACCUGCUACCUUAAGGGACUUGAUUAUCACAUAAUUUGAUAUAGGUAACUUUUUACUGCUGAUGAAUUGAACAGUGCGGUAAGAAUGAUGCGGUAAGCUUUGGUUUUCAAUAAUUUUAUGCCAAUUUGCAUGUUUUACUUGGUCCAAUAUGGCAUAUUCAUCCUCAUCACUAUACAUUUAUUUUUACAUCUUCUAUUAUCUGCAAAUUUAUCCAAUUCUUGCUUGGUUAAUAUCUGUCUGUCGGUCACUCACUAAAUGAUCCAAUGAAAGGUCAGCCACACCAUGCCAUGCUGCAUGACUACUCGGUUUCUAAUUUUGAUUUCGACGUCUUGUAUUUUUCAAUCACAUUGCACAUGUCCUUUCUAUCUUCAGAAUCAUCUUCAUUUACCAUCUUUAUGGUUGCUGUCCAUCAUUGGAAAUUCAUUGAUGUGCUCAUUAUACCGGAUGUACAUUGACACAGUACAUUAUACUCUUCUCAGUUAUCUAAAUAUAAUCUCAGUGGAUUGAUGUGUGUGACUAAGACUUGAAUUAAAAGUUAGAGAGACAGAGUGUGCUGGUGAAGCCGUAUUGUUGAGUGGCUUGCAUGAAGGAACCACAGACUGCCUGGAGCCAGCCAAUAUAACAGGUAAGGGAAGUUUCUUCUGAUCUUGUCUUUUGAGUUGAUCAACCAAAGGGAAAGAACACCCUUGUUCGUAGCUGGAAUCCAUGAGAAGCACUUGCUUUUUAUUAAUUCCCCUUUGACUAAUCUUUAUCAAAUGCAUUUACGUCCUUUGUUGUUCAUCAUUUGGUGUGCCUGAGCUAGAAUCUUUCUUAAUGAACUUACUGUGUUUUCUAUUUCCUCUAUCUUCUGUCCUUUUUUUAAAACUUCUUUUUUUGACUAGGACAUAUAUUCUUUCUAAGAUCGAACUUUUUGACUAUGGUACAUGCCUGAAUCGCCAGAUGGCAUCAAGUUAGGUACUAGCUUGCCAUGAAUUUCCCAACAUUCAUAUAUUUGACUUAGUAUUAAUCGAACUUAACAGUCAUCUUUUUUAACCACUUCAGAGUAGAUAGCAAAUCAGUACACAUUUUUUUUCUCCCUUCACAUUUCAUCAUCUCUCCACUUUAGUGGUGGUCCUAUUUUUGAACUGAUUUCUAACAUAGCAUGGUCCCUAAUCUAGCUGCAUCCUAGAUCCAUUUCUGGACUGAUGAAAUCUGACACAGCUCUAAGUAUUUGACAGAUGAGUAAUGUAGGUUGUACGGGAAUUCUAGAACACUAAAAAAAAUAAAAACCUUUUACAAGAGACAAUAUGAAAAACUGAAAUAAUCUUUUACCAUACUUUCAGUUGGGUUCUGCAAUGCAAUCUGUCAAUCCAUUAUUACUUUUUUUUCUUUCUGAAAAAUAAAGAUUUACUGUAUAUACCUUAUGUAUACACUUGCUGAAUUUUUACCCUUUCUCACAGCUCAAAGGCAGAAAACAGUUACAGCAAUUACAGUUUUACCGCAGAUCAAUAUACCGGCGGCGGAGGCGCGUAGUGCA